GAUGAACGCUGGCGGCGUGCCUAAUACAUGCAAGUCGAGCGAACGGACGAGAAGCUUGCUUCUCCGAUGUUAGCGGCGGACGGGUGAGUAACACGUGGAUAACCUACCUAUAAGACUGGGAUAACUUCGGGAAACCGGAGCUAAUACCGGAUGAUAUUUUGAACCGCAUGGUUCAAAAGUGAAAGACGGUCUUGCUGUCACUUAUAGAUGGAUCCGCGCUGCAUUAGCUAGUUGGUAAGGUAACGGCUUACCAAGGCAACGAUGCAUAGCCGACCUGAGAGGGUGAUCGGCCACACUGGAACUGAGACACGGUCCAGACUCCUACGGGAGGCAGCAGUAGGGAAUCUUCCGCAAUGGGCGAAAGCCUGACGGAGCAACGCCGCGUGAGUGAUGAAGGUCUUCGGAUCGUAAAACUCUGAUAUUAGGGAAGAACAUAUGUGUAAGUAACUGUGCACAUCUUGACGGUACCUAAUCAGAAAGCCACGGCUAACUACGUG
rnacentral:rRNA from 1 species